GGAUGCGAUCAUACCAGCACUAAAGCACCGGAUCCCAUCAGAACUCCGAAGUUAAGCGUGCUUGAGCGAGAGUAGUACUAGGAUGGGUGACCUCCUGGGAAGUCCUCGUGUUGCAUUCC
rnacentral:rRNA from 2 species